CCUACGGGGGGCAGCAGUGGGGAAUAUUGGACAAUGGGCGAAAGCCUGAUCCAGCCAUGCCGCGUGUGUGAAGAAGGCCUUCGGGUUGUAAAGCACUUUCAGUGGGGAAGAAAGCCUUGGGGCUAAUACCCUCGAGGAAGGACAUCACCCACAGAAGAAGCACCGGCUAACUCCGUGCCAGCAGCCGCGGUAAUACGGAGGGUGCGAGCGUUAAUCGGAAUUACUGGGCGUAAAGCGCGCGUAGGCGGUCUGAUAAGCCGGUUGUGAAAGCCCCGGGCUCAACCUGGGAACGGCAUCCGGAACUGUCAGGCUAGAGUGCAGGAGAGGAAGGUAGAAUUCCCGGUGUAGCGGUGAAAUGCGUAGAGAUCGGGAGGAAUACCAGUGGCGAAGGCGGCCUUCUGGACUGACACUGACGCUGAGGUGCGAAAGCGUGGGUAGCAAACAGGAUUAGAUACCCGGUAGUC
rnacentral:rRNA from 1 species